rnacentral:rRNA from 1 species
CCUACGGGAGGCUGCAGUGGGGAAUAUUGGACAAUGGGCGAAAGCCUGAUCCAGCCAUGCCGCGUGUGUGAAGAAGGCCUUCGGGUUGUAAAGCACUUUCAGUGGGGAAGAAAGCCUUGGGGCUAAUACCCUCGAGGAAGGACAUCACCCACAGAAGAAGCACCGGCUAACUCCGUGCCAGCAGCCGCGGUAAUACGGAGGGUGCGAGCGUUAAUCGGAAUUACUGGGCGUAAAGCGCGCGUAGGCGGUCUGAUAAGCCGGUUGUGAAAGCCCCGGGCUCAACCUGGGAACGGCAUCCGGAACUGUCAGGCUAGGGUGCAGGAGAGGAAGGUAGAAUUCCCGGUGUAGCGGUGAAAUGCGUAGAGAUCGGGAGGAAUACCAGUGGCGAAGGCGGCCUUCUGGACUGACACUGACGCUGAGGUGCGAAAGCGUGGGUAGCAAACAGGAUUAGAUACCCGUGUAGUC